ACCAAAAUAUCCCAAAAAGAAAGGAACAAUCUUAUCUCUCCCUUCACCGAAAACGGCUUUCUUCCAAGUUUGCUGCACUCUCACUCCCUGCAACCAAAGCUGUGCCACGGUUCCUGAAUAACAAGACCAUACCUUAAAAUUCAAAUAAAAAGAAUGGCCGCCAUAAAAUUAACGGAAAUACCACUUAGAACUUCACUCCCUUUCUCUUCUUACUCUUAUUCCUACUCUCCUUCUCUCAACCUUUUCUUCUCUGCCCCAAAACCGUCAUUUCGCUUCUUUAGACCUUUCUCUUCCCUCCGGUCAGGAAAUAACCCUAGCUCCACGUCCAAGCCCUAUUGUUACCCAAGGGACCACCAAUCCUCGGGCGCAUCUUCUUCCUUCCAAGCCUGGCCCUCUCCUUCCGGAAAAGUCAUCCAAUCGGACGCUAAUGAUAAGGUUGAUGUUGAAACUCGAUAUUUUGAUAAAGAUAAAGGCCAAAGCGCAAUUGAAAGAAUCGUUCUCAGAUUGCGAAACUUAGGGCUAGGAUCAGAUGACGAAGAAGAAGACGAUGAUGAAACGGACGACUAUAAUCAGACGCCGGUGACUGGAGAAGAGAGGUUAGGUGAUUUAUUGAAAAGAGAGUGGGUACGGCCUGAUACGAUGGUGAUAGAGAGAGAAAAGAAAGAAGCUGUGCUGCCGUGGGAGCGAGAGGAGGCGGAGGUGGAGGUGGUGGAGGAGAGAGGCUUAGGAUUUAAGAAGAGGAGAGUGAAGGCACCGACAUUGGCGGAGCUGACAAUUGAGGAUGAGGAGCUGAGGAGGUUGAGGAGGAUGGGCAUGUAUUUAAGGGAAAGAAUCAAUGUGCCGAAGGCGGGGAUUACACAGGCGGUUUUGGAGAAGAUUCAUGAUAAGUGGAGGAAGGAGGAGUUAGUUAGGCUUAAGUUUCAUGAGUUUCUAGCUGUGGAUAUGAAGACUGCUCAUGAGAUUGUUGAGCGUCGUACAGGAGGAUUAGUUUUAUGGAGAUCUGGAAGUGUUAUGGUGGUCUAUCGUGGAAGUAACUACGAAGGUCCUUCUAGAUCCCCAUCUAUUGGUGGAGAAGGAGAAACUCUUUUUGUCCCAGAUGUUUCUUCUGCAAGCAAUGCAGUAAGGGGAAGUGAAUCUGGCACGACUUCAACCCCUGAAAAGUGUGAUCCAAUUGUGGUGAAGCCUGAACGUAGUGAAAGCAUGACUGAAGAGGAAGCUGAGUAUAACAGUCUACUAGAUGGUCUAGGACCUAGGUUUGUUGAGUGGUGGGGUACAGGAGUACUUCCAGUUGAUGCUGAUUUACUUCCUCAAAAGAUACCUGGUUAUAAAACACCUUUCAGGCUUCUUCCUGCUGGAAUGAGAGCACGGCUUACGAAUGCAGAAAUGACAAAUUUACGGAAAAUUGCUAAAUCACUUCCUUGUCAUUUUGCCCUGGGGAGGAAUAGAAACCACCAGGGAUUGGCGGCUGCUAUAAUUAAACUUUGGGAGAAAAGCCUUGUUGCAAAGAUUGCUGUAAAACGAGGUAUUCAGAAUACAAAUAACAAGCUUAUGUCUGAGGAGCUAAAGAACUUAACUGGAGGCAUCUUGCUGCUCAGAAACAAGUACUUUAUUGUCAUAUACCGAGGAAAAGAUUUCCUUCCAACAAGUGUUGCUGCUGCUCUGCAAGAAAGACAGGAGUUGACAAAACAGAUUCAAGAUGUCGAGGAGAAAGUGCGGAUCAGAGCAGUUGAGCCAGCUCAAUCAGGUGAAGAAGAUAAAGGACAGACUCCUGCAGGUACAUUAGCUGAGUUUUAUGAAGCUCAAGCCCGCUGGGGAAGAGAUAUAUCUGCAGAAGAACGUGAAAAGAUGAUUGAAGAAGCUUCCAAAGCUAAGCAUGCUAGACUUGUAAAGCACGUCAAACAUAAACUGGCUGUUGCCCAAGCCAAAAAGCUUAGAGCAGAGAAACUAUUAGCUAAAGUAGAAGCCUCUAUGAUCCCUGCUUCGCCAGAUUAUGACCAAGAAACAAUUACUGAUGAGGAACGGGCUAUGUAUCGCAGAGUUGGUUUAAGAAUGAAACCAUACUUACCUCUUGGUAUUCGUGGUGUUUUUGAUGGUGUCAUUGAGAAUAUGCAUCUGCAUUGGAAGCACAGAGAACUUGUGAAGCUAAUAACCAAACAAAAGACCCUUGAAUAUGUUGAAGAUACAGCCAGGUUAUUGGAGUAUGAGAGUGGUGGGAUACUGGUGGCAAUAGAAAGGCUCCCCAAAGGAUAUGUUCUUAUUUAUUAUCGUGGAAAAAAUUACCGUCGGCCCAUUAGCCUGAGGCCAAGAAACCUUCUAACAAAGGCAAAGGCAUUGAAGCGCUCAGUUGCAAUGCAACGCCAUGAGGCUCUGAGUGAGCAUAUUUCUGAACUGGAGAAAACCAUAGAGCAAAUGAAAGGGGAAAUGGGUGCCUCUCAAGAUGUUGAGGAUGACAAUAAUGGGGAGUCAGGCGAGCAUGGCCAGUUUGAUCCUGUUUCGGAACUCACCCAAUUUGAAGCUUCAGUAAAUAGUUUGUCAAGUACUCGAUUGCAAAGUGAGGAUGAAGCUUCAUGUAUGGCAUCUGAUGGUGAUGAGGAAUAUGAUGAUGAGCUUGAUGACUAUGAAGAUGAUGGUGAGUUUGAUGAUGAUGAACAUGAGGAUGAUAACAUUGACUCGGAAGCUGAUGAAGAUUCUUUACAGUCAAACUUUGAAAAAGCCAAUUUUCACAGAUAUCAUUGAUCAAGUUUCCAAAAAUUUUGAACUGACUAGAUUGUGAUUUUCUUUUUGUCCAUAACCCUAUGAGGUUGAACAUUGGGAUGGCUUGGGCUGGACUGUAUAUCAUGGAUGAGUUUUUUUCCCAAGUUGCUCUGUUUAUUAAACGGGGUGAAAGGGCUUGCAUGACUGGCAAUGGUGACAUCCUCAUUUUCUGCAGCAUUCUGUUCAUUUCACCCCAUCAAGAAUGAUGCUACGACUAACUGAAACUUGGUGGUAACACAGCUUCAGGUUCUGUCUGGUCAGUUUUUUUUUUACCAAGUCAUGACAGUCGACAUUAAUAAUGAAUUUCUUAUUUUUUGGAUAUGUAUUUCAUUUAUCAAUUAGGGGAAUAUUAUUUCUCCCAUCGUAAAAGCACUUGGAUUUAUUGUAAUUAUUACUGUAUAUUUUGGUGUUAAUUCAUUGGAAUAUGAUCCGUUUUGCUGUAUAAUGAGCUAGAUCUAUGGAACUUUUGAGUGUCGCAUGUAUUU